UACGAAGGGGGCUAGCGUUGCUCGGAAUCACUGGGCGUAAAGGGUGCGUAGGCGGGUCUUUAAGUCAGGGGUGAAAUCCUGGAGCCUCAACUCCAGAACUAGCCUUUGAUACUGAAGAUCUUGAGUUCGGGAGAGGUGAGUGGGAACUGCGAGUGUAGAGGUGAAAAUUCGUAGAUAUUCGGAAGAACACCAGUGGCGAAGGCGACCUCGCUGGACAGGCUAUUGACGCUGAGGUGCGAAAGCGUGGGGAG
rnacentral:rRNA from 1 species